CGGGCGGUAGCUCAGCUUGGUAGAGCUUCCGGCUGUAGACCGGAUUGUCGCAGGUUCAAAUCCUGCCCGCCCGACCA
rnacentral:tRNA from 2 species